ensembl:lncRNA
UUGUGUGAAUUACAAUAUGAAAAAAAACAAAAAGAAUUAGCAGAUGAUGAUAUAUUGUUGUAUAAAGAGAAGUUAAACAAAAAUGAUGACCUGAUGAUAGAAGUACUAUUUUUAUUAUGUCUUUGUUAUAUUCAUUCGUCCAUAUAUAUAGCUAUUUCAAUUUUUUUAUUUUUAAUAUUAUCGUGUUCGGACAUUAUUUUGUUUAUUAUUAUUAUUAUUAUUAUUAUUAUUAUUAUUAUUAUUAUUAUUAUUAUUAUUAUUAUUAUUAUUAUUUUUUUUUUUUUUUUUUUUUUUUUUUUUUUUUUUUUUUUUUUUUUUUGCUUUAUAGGUUUUCGAAAACUUUCACCACAUGGUCAAAAGCAUUGAUGAUUUUUUUUAUAAAGAUGAAGACCUAAAUGUGUUUCAAAAAAAGUUUAACAAAAACAAGGAAAUGUACAACGCACUUGUGGAAAAAGUUGCUACACAAAACAAAAAAAUUGAAUGGAAAAAAGAUGAUCUUUUGUCUAUGACCGACGAGCAAAGAGAAGAAUUAAAAAUGCACCAAGAAUAUAUUAAGCAUCAAAUUUUAGAACUUAAUAAAAAGAUAGAAUGGGAUAAGUUAGAAGCAGAAAGGAAAAAAAAAGAAUUAGAAGAAGAAGAGGAAAGGGAAAGAAAAAAAAAAGAAUUAGAAGAAGAAGAGGAAAGGGAAAGAAAAAAAAAAGAAUUAGAAGAAGAAAAGGAAAGGGAAAGGCAAAAAAAAGUAUUAGAAGAAGAGGAGAAAGAAAAACAAAAAAAAGCAUUAGAAGCAGAAGAGGAGAAAAGAAGACUAAAAAAAAUAUUAGAAGAAGAAGAAGAGGAAAGAGAGAGGCAAAGACAAGAACUGGAAGAACAAGCAAAUUGUAUAAAUUAUGAGGAAAAAAAAAAUAUACUAGCUGAAAAAGUUGAACAAAUACAAAAGCUUAUACAAGAAAAAAAUAGUGAUGUACUAACCUUUGAAGAUUGUAUUGACAUUAUUUACAAAGUGAAUCUUCCAUUGACUAAUAGUAAAAAAGAAGAGCUAAGAAGUAUGAAAAACAUAAAAAAAGAAGAACUGAUAAAAUUUAUAAAAGGUUUAGUAGUAAUUAAACAGGAUGUUUUAGAAGACAUGAUAUCCUUUUUCCAAAUAUGGGAUGUACAGAAAAAAGGAUACAUUCAUAAAAACUUAUUCUUGUCUAUAUUAAAACAAUUUGGAGAUGGUUUAAAUGAAGAAGAGGAGAAUUACUUACGAGCAGAAUUAGACCAAUCAGCAGAUCCAUAUGUAGAAUAUGCAAAACUACUGAACAAGUGGAUAAGUGAAGAGGAAAAGUAACUUCUUUUCUUUUUUUUGCCUUUUUUUGCCUUUUUUUGCUUUUUUUUUUUUUUUUUUAACUUUAUUAUAAUGUUAAAAAAAAAAAAAAUUAAAUUGUAUAAAUGUACAUAAAGUCCAAACUAAUAACAUUAUUAUUAUUUUUAUUAAAAAGAGGUGUGUACGAACAUUAACGGUAAAAGUGAGCUUCAAAAAAAAAAACGAAAAAAAUAAGUAUAUAACAAAAAUAAGGCUGUUUAAUUCAUUAAAAACAAACGUUUUUUAUUUAUUUAUUUCAAACUAUUUUUUUUUUAUAAUAUUAAUCAUUGUAUAUUAAUUAUUUUUGACCUUUUUUUUUUUUUUUUUAAAUUGUUUUGUAUAAGUUUAUCUAUAUAUAUGUGUAUAUCACAUAAUGGUAUAAAUGGAAAGUACUAUUUUAUUCUACAAAACAUACCUGUAAUUAAUUUUCAGUUAAAUUUUAAUACUUUUGUCUUUCUUUGUUUUAGUUUGCCUUAUUUUAUUUAUUUCCGCGUUUAUUAUUGAUGCGACAUUGAAGUGUAAAACUAUUUGGGUUUUAUUUACUUUUUUUUUAUUUCGUUUGCUUUGUCUAUUUUUUUUUAUUUUGUUUUGUUUGUUUGUUUGUUUGUUUUUUUGUUUGUUUUUUUGUUGUUUUUUUAUUUUUUUGUUUUAUUUAUUUUGUUUUCUUUUUUGUUUUAUCCGUUUUGUUUUCUAUAUUUAUUUAUUUUGAUCGUUUAUCCAUUAUACUUACGUACUACAUACGUACAGUUUAAAAAUAAAACUUUCAUACCGCGCGUUGAAAAAAAAAAA